GACGAACGCUGGCGGCGUGCUUAACACAUGCAAGUCGAACGGAAAGGCCCUGCUUUUGUGGGGUGCUCGAGUGGCGAACGGGUGAGUAACACGUGAGUAACCUGCCCUUGACUUUGGGAUAACUUCAGGAAACUGGGGCUAAUACCGGAUAGGAGCUCCUGCUGCAUGGAGGGGGUUGGAAAGUUUCGGCGGUUGGGGAUGGACUCGCGGCUUAUCAGCUUGUUGGUGGGGUAGUGGCUUACCAAGGCUUUGACGGGUAGCCGGCCUGAGAGGGUGACCGGCCACAUUGGGACUGAGAGACGGCCCAGAGUCCUACAGGAGGCAGCAGUGGGGAAUAUUGCACAAUGGGCGGAAGCCUGAUACAGCAACGCCGCGUUCGGGAUGACGGCCUUCGGGUUGUGAACCGCUUUCGCCUGUGACGAAGCUGGAGUGACGGUAAUGGGUAAAGAAGCACCGGCUAACUACGUG
rnacentral:rRNA from 1 species